AUACGGAGGAUGCGAGCGUUAUCCGGAUUUAUUGGGUUUAAAGGGAGCGUAGGCGGGAGCUUAAGUCAGCGGUUAAAUGGUGCGGCUCAACCGUGCCCUGCCGUUGAAACUGGGUUUCUUGAGAGUGCAAGAGGCGGAUGGAAUUCAUGGUGUAGCGGUGAAAUGCUUAGAUAUCAUGAAGAACUCCGGUUGCGAAGGCAGUCCGCUGGGGCACGUCUGACGCUGAUGCUCGAAGGUGCGGGAAUCAAACAGGAUUAGAUACCCUGGUAGUCCGCACGGUAAACGAUGAUUACCCGCUGUCGGCGGUAGACAGUCGGCGGCCAAGCGAAAGCGAUAAGUAAUCCACCUGGGGAGUACGCCGGCAACGGUGAAACUCAAAUGAAUUGACGGGG
rnacentral:rRNA from 1 species